rnacentral:snoRNA from 1 species
UGGGGCUUGGGAACCUGCCCCUCUCUGAGCACAGGUCCUUGUCUGUGGGGUGGGUGCAAGGGCGGUUGCAUGGGAUGACCCA